rnacentral:ncRNA from 1 species
UUUGGUCCUAGCCUUGAAAUUAAUUGUUACUAAAUUUACACAUGCAAGCCUCCCCACCCCUGUGAGUAUUCCCUUGCCCUUUUCUCCAGGGCAAGGGACAGGUAUCAGGUUCAACAUGCCCAAGACACCUAGCCCAGCCACACCCACAAGGACUUCAGCAGUGAUUAACAUUGAACAUAAGCGACAGCUUGAUUCAAUUAUAGUAAACAGGGCUGGCAAAGUUAGUGCCAGCCGCCGCGGUCACACUACAUCAGCUCAAAUUAAUAUCUAUCGGCGUAAAGCGUGAUUAAAACACUCAACAAAGCUAGAGUCAAACAUAAAUCAUUCCGUUCAAACCUCAUUUAUAAGAAGCUCAACAACGAAAGUCACUCUAAACUAAUCAACUUGAACUCACGACAGCAGAAAAACAAACUGGGAUUAGAUACCCCACUAUGCCUGCCACAAACUUUAACUUACACCCCAAUCGCCUGGGAACUACGAGCAAAGCUUAAAACCCAAAGGACUUGACGGUGACCCACACCCCUAGAGGAGCCUGUCCUAUAAUCGAUAAUCCACGUUUAACCUCACCAUUUCUAGCCUCUCAGUCUGUAUACUUCCGUCGCCAGCUUACCACAUGAGUGCCUCAAAGUACAGCACCAUGGCAUUAGUACGCUUUAACGCGUACCCCGCCACUACGUCAGGUCAAAGUGCAGCUUAUGAAAUGGGAAGAGAUGGGCUACACUUUUUAUUAUAAAAGAAACGAAAACCUUAAUGAAACAUGGUCAGAAGGCGGAUUUAGAAGUAAAAACAAAACAUAAUGUUCUUUUUAACAUAUUUUCCUGGGUCAUGUACACACCGCC